GGGGGCCACAGCAGAAGCGUUCACGUCGCAGCCCCUGUCAGCCAUUGCACUCCGGCUGCGAAUUCUGCU
rnacentral:ribozyme from 1 species